rnacentral:lncRNA from 1 species
AAAAAUCAAGAAAUUGACUGAUUAUUUUUCUUAAAUUUAGGUUUUUACAAAAGUAUAGUUUUUCUGGUCCAAGGAUUGAUAGCCGCUAUAUUUUUAAUAACUUUUUUUCAUUUAUGAGAAAUACUACCAAACAUAACGGGGUAUUUAAUGAGCACACAAAAAUAAUUUAUUGGUCAUUUUCUGAAUUUCUUUUAGAGGGGGGAAACGGGACACGUAGUUAUGUUAUGUUUUUCAUUGAAUGAAUGAAUAAGGGGUUAGGUGGAUAGUUGAAGUGGUGGCUACUCUUCCAAUGCCAUGUUGGGGCUCAUUCUUAUCUAUUUGUCAACUUGUUUAUUCUGAUGUGUGACCUUAGUUAAUUUAUAUGGAGACUCGUUGUUAUCUUUCUAUUUUUGCAUGUGACCUUAGUUAAUUUAUUUGGAGACUCGUUCUUAUCUUUCUAUUUUUGCAUGUGACCUUAGUUAAUUUAUUUGGAGACUCGUUCUUAUCUUUCUAUUUUUGCAUAUAUUGAGUGUGGGUAACUUUUUAAAUUUUAACUUAAAAAAAACAGACUUUUUAAAUUUUUAUAAAUUGAGUGUGGGUGAUCAACUGAUGAUAGUCUCGUAGUGGUAGUGGGUAAUGAUAGUGACCAAAUUUGGUAGGUGGACCUACCUCCGCCAAAAGUCGCAGGUGGUUUUACUUAGAUUCUCAGUUUAGAUUAGAAGGAAAGAGAGGAAAAAGAAUGGGGGGCUUUUAGAGAAAAGUGGAAAACAAAAGGCAUAGUAUGAUUAAG